AUUAAAACAUAGAAAGAAACAGUGAUCAUGAAGGUUGUGCUCCCAGGAUGAGGCUAUCCCAUUGCACUCCAGGUGUGCUGGCUCCUGCGACGUCCCCAAAUGCAGGAUGCUCGACCGCAAAAUCUGUGGUAGUGGGGGACUGCGUUCACACUCUCCCUUG